rnacentral:tRNA from 1 species
GCCCUAGUAGCUUAAUGUAAAGCAUCGGUCUUGUAAACCGAAGACCGGAGGUUAAAAACCCCCCUAGCGCC